CCUACGGGAGGCAGCAGUGAGGAAUAUUGGUCAAUGGGCGCGAGCCUGAACCAGCCAAGUAGCGUGAAGGAUGACUGCCCUACGGGUUGUAAACUUCUUUUAUAAAGGAAUAAAGUGAGGCACGUGUGCCUUUUUGUAUGUACUUUAUGAAUAAGGAUCGGCUAACUCCGUGCCAGCAGCCGCGGUAAUACGGAGGAUCCGAGCGUUAUCCGGAUUCAUUGGGUGUAAAGAGUUCGUAGGCGGCACGUAAAGUCAGGUGUUAAAGGCAGAGGCUCAACUUCUGUACGGCACUGGAUACUUGCAGGCUAGAAUGCGGUAGAGGUAAGGGGAAUUCGUGGUGUAGCGGUGAAAUGCUUAGAUAUCAGGAGGAACAUCGGUGGCGUAAGCGCUUUACUGGGCCGUAAUUGACGCUGAGGAACGAAAGCCAGGGUAGCAAAUGGGAUUAGAUACCCUUGUAGUC
rnacentral:rRNA from 1 species